rnacentral:rRNA from 1 species
UACGUAGGUGGCUAGCGUUGCCCGGAAUUAUUGGGCGUAAAGCGCGCGCAGGCGGUCUCUUAAGUCUGAUGUGAAAUCCCGUGGCUUAACCACGGGCGGUCAUUGGAAACUGGGGGACUUGAGUGCAGAAGAGAAGAGCGGAAUUCCACGUGUAGCGGUGAAAUGCGUAGAGAUGUGGAGGAACACCAGUGGCGAAGGCGGCUCUUUGGUCUGUAACUGACGCUGAGGCGCGAAAGCGUGGGGAGCGAACAGG